rnacentral:hammerhead_ribozyme from 1 species
AUUCAUCUGACGAAUUCCAAACAGGAUGAAACACGUGUCCUGGAU